rnacentral:misc_RNA from 1 species
GCAAUUUAGAUAAGAGAUUUUUGCCUAAAUCAUUCUUGAAAUUCAGCAGAUAAUUGACAUACAACAGAAAAAAUAAACUUGAAGUUCCAUAUUGGUGUUUUCACAGCACAAUACUGACAUAUACUUUUCAUCAAGCCAUGAAAUAUGUGAAAUCAUAAAUCUUAUUCAAACUUCAGUCCUUUCAGGAUUGAAUUAGAGUUUAGGAG